CAGAUCUUAAAGAUUUUCCGGAAGACAAUCUUGCUCUUCAACUGAGAAUCCUAUUUAAAUCGUAACCCUUGCAACCUUAGGCCAGUGAGGCUGCUUCUGUCUGAGAGAAGUAAUUAUUCAUCAACUUCCAUAAUUACAAAAUCUUAGAGCAGGCAAAGACCAUAUGGAGGUUGUUGAGUCCAACUUGAUUACUCAGAAGAAAAAUAGACACUAAUGUUGGGUUUCUGCAAAACCCAGUUUCCUUUCUACUUUAAUAUCUAGCAUUCUAUAUUUGUGAAGUUAAUAUCUUAGAUUAAGAAAAAAUUCAUCCUUGCACUCACCCGAACACGUAGCCUCACCUUAUGACAUCAUAGUCACCAUAGCAACACCCGUGAGUUGGCAGCAUAUUGCCUUCAGUGAGGGAUCAUGGCAAUGAGUUAACAAAGGAUGGCAGCUUCAGAUGUUGAUGUGAACAGGAAGGGAAGAAGUGGAAAAGGAGGAACAGGGAGUGGAGAAAUAGACGCCUGGAAAGAGGAAACUAGAGGAAGAGAAACCACAGAGAGCAGUUUGAAGGCAGAAGCACGCCCACAGGGUGCUUUGGAGACCCUCCAGGCUGCAGAGAAGAGCAAGGUUGAAAAUCAAUGCAUCUGGUUCACCUUGAAUCUUGAGCUGCAUAUUUUUAGCAUCAGAAAAGCCUGUAUUGCCAGCAUUACUGGAGAAAAAGCAGAUAACCCCACAACGUCCUCCAGCCAAGGAGGAGGGCAGAGGGCUCAGAGGAGCAGAGUGCCUGCAGCUUAGAUGAUUCACCAGCCUUGAUUCUUACAGCAUGCAGGCUGGUGACUAUGACCCAGGGACCAUGAACCAUGAGUUAGAAUUUUCUGACAGAGUCCCUGAUCUCAGGCUACCAUUUUCUUUAAUAAUUGAGAUAAGCAUGGGAAGGAGGCUUAAAGUA
ensembl:lincRNA